AUGUGGCGGCUUCUGGCGCUGGUGGUGUUCGCCGCCGUGCCGGCAAUGGCCGGCGACCCCUACGCCUUCUUCGACUGGGACGUCUCCUACGUCACCGCGGCGCCCCUCGGCGUCAAGCAGCAGGUGAUAGGCAUCAACGGCAAGUUCCCGGGGCCCGUCGUCAACAUCACCACCAACUGGAACGUCGUCGUCAACGUGCUCAACGACCUCGACGAGCCCCUCCUAAUCACAUGGAACGGGAUCCAGCACCGGAAGAACUGCUGGCAGGACGGCGUGCUGGGCACCAACUGCCCCAUCCCGUCCGGGUGGAACUGGACCUACGAGUUCCAGGUCAAGGAUCAGAUCGGCAGCUUCUUCUACUUCCCCUCCACCGGCCUGCAGCGCGCCGCCGGCGGCUUCGGCGGCAUCGUUGUCAACAACCGCGGCGUCAUCGCCGUGCCCUUCGGCCGCCCCGACGGCGACAUCACCAUCCUGAUCGGCGACUGGUACAACAGGAACCACACGGAUCUGAGGAAGAUGCUGGACGAAGGGAAGGAGCUCGGGAUGCCGGACGGCGUGCUGAUAAACGGCAAGGGCCCGUACCGGUACAACGACAGCCUUGUGCCGGCCGGCAUUGAGCACGAGACCAUCGAUGUGCAUCCCGGUCGGACGUACCGCAUCCGGGUGCACAACGUGGGCACGUCGACGAGCCUCAACUUCCGGAUCCAGGGGCACAACCUGCUGCUGGUGGAGACGGAGGGGUCCUACACCACGCAGCAGAACUACAGCAGCCUCGACGUCCACGUCGGCCAGUCCUACUCCUUCCUCCUCACCACCGACCAGAACGCCAGCUCCGACUACUACGUCGUCGCCAGCGCCCGCAUCGUCAACGAGUCCCUCUGGCAGCGCGUCACCGGCGUCGCCCUCCUCCGCUACUCCAACUCCGGCGGCCCGGCGUCCGGCCCGCUCCCGGACCCGCCCCAGGACCAGUACGACAAGACGCUCUCCAUGAACCAGGCGCGCUCCGUCCGCUGGAACCUCAGCGCCGGCGCGGCGCGGCCCAACCCGCAGGGCUCCUUCCGCUACUCCUCCAUCAACGUGACGCAGGCGUACCUGCUGCGGAGCGCCGCGCCCGUGGAGAUCGGCGGGAAGCUUAGGGCGGCGCUCAACGGGCUGUCCUUCGUCCCGCCGGAGACGCCGCUGCGGCUCGCCGACGCGUACGGCGUGGAGGGCGCCUACACGCUCGACUUCCCGGAGCGGCCGCCGGCGCCGGACGCCGCCCCCCGGGUGGCGCGGUCCGUCAUCAACGGCACCUACCGGGGGUUCAUGGAGCUCAUCUUCCAGAACAACGACACCCGGAUGCAGAGCUACCACGUGGACGGGUACGCCGUGUUCGUCGUCGGGAUGGACUACGGGGAGUGGACGGAGGCGAGCCGGAGCACGUACAACAAGGGCGACAGCGUGGCGCGCAGCACCGUGCAGGUGUACCCCGGCGCCUGGACGGCGGCGCUGGUGUCGCUGGACAACGUGGGGUUCUGGAACGUGCGGUCGCAGAACCUCGACUCGUGGUACCUCGGGCAGGAGGUGUACGUCAGGGUGGUGAACCCCGAGGACGGCGCCAACAAGACCGAGAUGGCCGUCCCCCGCAACGCCCUCUACUGCGGCCAGCUCCACAAGUACCAGAAGGAGCAGACCCCUCAUCACAAGGCGGCGGCGGCGGCGUCUGCGGCGGCCGUGCGGCCGUUGGCUGUGCGGAGGCAGAUCGUGGCGUUGGUGAUGCUCGUCGUCGGAGCCCUCGUGUUCGCGUCGUAG
rnacentral:rRNA from 1 species